AGGAGAUUUAUGGUCUGAGGUUGCCUAUCGUGGUUUAUGGAGAUUUUGUUGCACGAUUUCGGUGCAUCUGCUCGUUGCCGUGCGAGACACUAGAUAGGAUGCACUUAAUUGACUUAAUUAUUGGAGGUUUUAAAGGAGAGAAUAAUGUGGAAAGGAAAAAAGAGAAGAAGCACAACCCAAAGGGGUUGGCCGGGCCUAUGGUUGGAAUGAGGAAGGGUGUGGUCUUCGGCUAAAAUUUGCAUAAAACGGAACCCAUCCGGGCGAUUCCAACUUCGCCCAUUUAUUGGUAGUCCUUGGGGCGGUGCCUCGCCUCUUUCUCCGCCCCCGAGCGGAACAUGACGGGAGAUGUAGUUCCGAGACCGGUUGCCAUGGCGUUCUGGACAGCCUCGCGAGUCCGACCCCGCCCUUCAGGAGUGACGAGCGGCCUGACCAAUGGGAGCAGGGGGCGGGCUCUCUGCCGCAGGACUGGAAGGUGGCGGUGGUGAAGGUACAGGCCGUUGGGGCGGCUCAGAGGCAGGUGACUAUGAAAGGCUUAUAUUUCCAACAGAGUUCCACAGAUGAAGAAAUAACAUUUGUAUUUCAAGAAAAGGAAGAUCUUCCUGUUACAGAGGAUAACUUUGUGAAACUUCAAGUUAAAGCUUGUGCUCUGAGCCAGAUAAAUACAAAGCUUCUGGCAGAAAUGAAGAUGAAAAAGGAUUUAUUUCCUGUUGGGAGAGAAAUUGCUGGAAUUGUAUUAGAUGUUGGAAGCAAGGUAUCAUUCUUUCAACCAGAUGAUGAAGUAGUUGGAAUUUUGCCCCUGGACUCUGAAGACCCUGGACUUUGUGAAGUUGUUAGAGUACAUGAGCAUUACUUGGUUCAUAAACCAGAAAAGGUCACAUGGACGGAAGCAGCAGGAAGCAUUCGGGAUGGAGUGCGUGCCUAUACAGCUCUGCAUUAUCUUUCUCAUCUCUCUCCUGGAAAAUCAGUGCUGAUAAUGGAUGGAGCAAGUGCAUUUGGUACAAUAGCUAUUCAGUUAGCACAUCAUAGAGGAGCCAAAGUGAUUUCAACAGCAUGCAGCCUUGAAGAUAAGCAGUGCCUUGAAAGAUUCAGACCUCCCAUAGCCCGAGUGAUUGAUGUAUCUAAUGGGAAAGUUCAUGUUGCUGAAAGCUGUUUGGAAGAAACAGGUGGCCUGGGAGUAGAUAUUGUCCUAGAUGCUGGAGUGAGAUUAUAUAGUAAAGAUGAUGAACCAGCUGUAAAACUACAACUACUACCACAUAAACAUGAUAUCAUCACACUUCUUGGUGUUGGAGGCCACUGGGUAACAACAGAAGAAAACCUUCAGUUGGAUCCUCCAGACAGCCACUGCCUUUUCCUCAAGGGAGCAACGUUAGCUUUCCUGAAUGAUGAAGUUUGGAAUUUGUCAAAUGUACAACAGGGAAAAUAUCUUUAUAUCCUUUUUAUCGACUGAUUGACUACGUAUCUUAAAGGAUGUGAUGGAGAAGUUAUCAACUGGUGUUUUCAGACCUCAGUUGGAUGAACCCAUUCCACUGUAUGAGGCAAAAGUUUCCAUGGAAGCUGUUCAGAAAAAUCAAGGAAGAAAAAAGCAAGUUGUUCAAUUUUAAUUUUCUUCUUUCUCAGACCUCAGUCGGAUGAACAUAUUCCAGUAUUUGAAGCCAGAAUUUUCUUUGGAAAUUGUUGAGAAAAACCAAGGAAGAUAAAACAAGUUGCAUUUUUAAGCACGUUUCUCUGCUAAGACAAGAUGCUCAGUUGACACAUUUGAAAAGUGUUUGAAAAAUUCUUGUGCAAAUGAUCAAGAUAAUUCUAUAAUUAACAUCUUAAGGGAAUUUUUCUAAAAACCUUUUCAUUGUUUCUAUAUAUUUUGCCCCUGCUAUAAAAUUCCUUCCAUGAAGAAAACUGCUGCUUUCAGCAAAAGCCACACUACUCUUGAUAAAGCUGUUGCAGGCCUUUGCUAAGCUGUCAAAGUAACGUAUUAAUUUUGUAUCAACUCCGUUCUCAACACCUUCCUUAAGUCUUUGCUGUCAUAAUUUAAGCAUUUGAGUAUAUUUUGAAGUGUUAAAAGACCUAGCCCAUAGGCACUUAAA